GUGGGGCAGGAAGGGGGGAGAUGGAGGCAUAGAGAAGGCAGUCUCGGGUGUCCCAGGUGUGCAUCACUACAGCCGUUCAUGGGGUGCUGGGGAUGGAACCCGUCUCAUACACACUGACCUGCUGGUGCCCCAUCUCCCCAGCACAGACUCCCACCUCCUCCGGUGGCAGGUGGGCCAUGCACAGCCUUAGCACCAGCUCUUACCAGCCACCCAUCCCCCCCGUGCCCAAGCCUUCCUUCUAGCUCCCUCCAGAUGUGGCCCUGCUCUUCUGAGACCAGUGACAUGGAGGAAGACACCUGUGUUCCCUCUCUGUGUCCCCUCUCCUCAUUACAUCUGCCUCAGCUCCAGCUGUUCAGCAUGGCCCUGGCAUGAAAGAGCUGCUGGCAGGGAGAGGAACAGGAAUCUAAAGAGGAAUCUCUUCUAACAUAAACCGACAGUUUGAGGAUGCUGGAUCAGCAGCAGUGGGAAGCCGUAGGGACUGCCUCUGGACGUGGACACAAACUGCAGGCUGGGGUGUCUGCGUGUCUGUGGAAGGACUGUGGGGCUAGAGGUGGGACUAGGAAGAGAGUUUCUUAAGAACGUGAUGGCUGAAAUUCUGAGGGGCACCCGGGUGACCAAGAAGAAAUAAAGAAUGCCUUGUGGAAUAUGGGAA